rnacentral:rRNA from 1 species
AGUGAACGCUGGCGGUAGGCCUAACACAUGCAAGUCGAACGGCAGCACAGUAAGAGCUUGCUCUUACGGGUGGCGAGUGGCGGACGGGGGAGGAAUACAUCGGAAUCUACUUUUUCGUGGGGGAUAACGUAGGGAAACUUACGCUAAUACCGCAUACGACCUACGGGUGAAAGCAGGGGAUCUUCUGACCUUGCGCGAUUGAAUGAGCCGAUGUCGGCUUAGCUAGUUGGCGGGGUAAAGGCCCACCAAGGCGACGAUCCGUAGCUGGUCUGAGAGGAUGAUCAGCCACACUGGAACUGAGACACGGUCCAGACUCCUACGGUGGGAAGCAGUGGGGAAUAUUGGACAAUGGGGGCGAGCCUGAUCCAGCCCUACCGCGUGGGUGAAGAAGGACUUCGGGUUGUAAAGCCCUUUUGUUGGGAAAGAAAAGCAGCAGGUUAACACCCCGCUGUUCUGACGGUACCCAAAGAAUAAGCACCGGCUAACUUCGUG